rnacentral:rRNA from 1 species
GACCUAGCGGCGGACGGGUGAGUAAUGCUUAGGAAUCUGCCAUUUAGUGGGGGACAACAUUCCGAAAGGAAUGCUAAUACCGCAUACGUCCUACGGGAGAAAGCAGGGGAUCUUCGGACCUUGCGCUAAAUGAUGAGCCUAAGUCGGAUUAGCUAGUUGGUGGGGUAAAGGCCUACCAAGGCGACGAUCUGUAGCGGGUCUGAGAGGAUGAUCCGCCACACUGGGACUGAGACACGGCCCAGACUCCUACGGGAGGCAGCAGUGGGGAAUAUUGGACAAUGGGCGCAAGCCUGAUCCAGCCAUGCCGCGUGUGUGAAGAAGGCCUUUUGGUUGUAAAGCACUUUAAGCGAGGAGGAGGCUCUCUUAGUUAAUACCUAAGAUGAGUGGACGUUACUCGCAGAAUAAGCACCGGCUAACUCUGUGCCAGCAGCCGCGGUAAUACAGAGGGUGCGAGCGUUAAUCGGAUUUACUGGGCGUAAAGCGUGCGUAGGCGGCUUUUUAAGUCGGAUGUGAAAUCCCCGAGCUUAACUUGGGAAUUGCAUUCGAUACUGGGAAGCUAGAGUAUGGGAGAGGAUGGUAGAAUUCCAGGUGUAGCGGUGAAAUGCGUAGAGAUCUGGAGGAAUACCGAUGGCGAAGGCAGCCAUCUGGCCUAAUACUGACGCUGAGGUACGAAAGCAUGGGGAGCAAACAGGAUUAGAUACCCUGGUAGUCCAUGCCGUAAACGAUGUCUACUAGCCGUUGGGGCCUUU